GUAGCUCAAGCUCAAUGGUAGAGCACAUGCUUAGCAUACAUGAGGCCUUGGGUUCCAUCCCCAGUACCACA
rnacentral:tRNA from 1 species